GGACGGUUAGCUCAGUUGGUAGAGCACUGCUUUUACACAGCAGCUGUCAGAGGUUCGAGUCCUCUACCGUCCA
rnacentral:tRNA from 1 species